UCCCGAGUGCCUAGGUUUUGUAAGGAGCGUUUUGUGAGUAGUGGUCGCAGAAUCGAACUCAGAGGACCUCUGCUACAGAUCUGUCUUCCUCCCGAGCUAAAGUGCUUUAGUCCUGAGGGUUUAACCCUUUCCCAUUUUUCUUCUGACUCCAUUUUUGCAGGUAUGAACCGGUCGGGCCUGGCUUCCCUUUUCAGCCCCAAGCCCGUGAUGAAUUAAUUUCUGACACCUCGUAUGAAAACUGCAUGUGUGGUCUGAUUACAUUAUAAGACUGAGGCUUGGGCGCGACGUCAUAAUUUGGAUGGGUUUUGAGUGAAAAGCUAACCAAAGUAAAGAUUUAUGUUGUUUGGUUUUUCAGGUCAUAAUGAGUCGGCUGCAUCAAGAGAUCCAACGAGUAGGAGUGUUGGCUGGUAAGCUGGGCAUCCGUGUAUCUGAGUUUCUUAGCAAUAAAGUGAAAUGCAAUCUU
rnacentral:lncRNA from 1 species